CCUACGGGUGGCAGCAGUGAGGAAUAUUGGUCAAUGGGCGCAAGCCUGAACCAGCCAAGUAGCGUGAAGGAUGACUGCCCUACGGGUUGUAAACUUCUUUUAUAAAGGAAUAAAGUGAGGCACGUGUUCCUUUUUGUAUGUACUUUAUGAAUAAGGAUCGGCUAACUCCGUGCCAGCAGCCGCGGUAAUACGGAGGAUCCGAGCGUUAUCCGGAUUUAUUGGGUUUAAAGGGAGCGUAGACGGCUUGUUAAGUCAGCGGUGAAAGUUUGUGGCUCAACCGUAAAAUUGCAGUUGAGACUGGGAGGAUUGAGUAUGUUUGAGGCAGGCGGAAUGCGUGGUGUAGCGGUGAAAUGCUUAGAUAUCACGCAGAACCCCGAUUGCGAAGGCAGCCUGCCAAGCCGUGACUGACGCUGAUGCACGAAAGCGUGGGGAUCAAACAGGAUUAGAUACCCGAGUAGUC
rnacentral:rRNA from 1 species